rfam:Hordeum vulgare subsp. vulgare, WGS project CAJW01000000 data, contig: morex_contig_136657
AUAUUACUUCCUCCGUUUCAAAAAUUUUGUCUUAGAUUUGUCUAAAAAUAAAUAUAUUUAAAUACCAAAACAUGAUUAAAUAAAUUCAUAUCUAGACAAAUUUAAAACAAAAGUUUUGAGACGAAGGAAGUAUUAG